rnacentral:rRNA from 1 species
GACGAACGCUGGCGGCGUGCUUAACACAUGCAAGUCGAACGGAAAGGCCCUGCUUUUGUGGGGCGCUCGAGUGGCGAACGGGUGAGUAACACGUGAGUAACCUGCCCUUGACUUUGGGAUAACUUUAGGGAACAGGGGCUAAUAUCGGAGAGGAGCUCCUGCUGCACGGUGGGGAUUGGAAAGUUUCGGCGGUUGGGGCUGGACUCGCGGCUUAUCCGCUUGUUGGUGGGGUAGUGGCUUACCAAGGCUUUGACGGGUAGCCGGCCUGAGAGGGUGACCGGCCACAUUGGGACUGAGAUACGGCCCAGACUCCUACGGGAGGCAGCAGUGGGGAAUAUUGCACAGUGGGCGGAAGCCUGAUACAGCAACGCCGCGUGCGGGAUGACGGCCUUCGGGUUGUAAACCGCUUUCGCCUGUGACGAAGCCUGAGUGACGGUAAUGGGUAAAGAAGCACCGGCUAACUACGUG